UACGGGGGGGGGCAAGCGUUGUUCGGAAUUACUGGGCGUAAAGGGCUCGUAGGCGGCCAACUAAGUCAGACGUGAAAUCCCUCGGCUUAACCGGGGAACUGCGUCUGAUACUGGAUGGCUUGAGGUUGGGAGAGGGAUGCGGAAUUCCAGGUGUAGCGGUGAAAUGCGUAGAUAUCUGGAGGAACACCGGUGGCGAAGGCGGCAUCCUGGACCAAUUCUGACGCUGAGGAGCGAAAGCCAGGGGGAGCAAAACGGG
rnacentral:rRNA from 1 species